rnacentral:lncRNA from 1 species
UAUUUUUUUAGUCAUUAUAUUUUUAUUCCUUUAUUUUAUUUAUUUUAUGUGGUGCUGAGGAUCAAACCCAGUGAAUCAAACAUGCUAGGCAAGUACUUUACCACUGAGAUACAAACAUGGUCCCUCAAUCUGUAUUUUUAAUAAGCUCUCAAGUGGUUCUUAUUAUCAAGCAAGUUUGGAAACAACCUGGGAGAGAUGUGGCAAGUCACAAACUAAUUCAAGAACCAUUCUUAAAAGUUUAACUAACCAUGUAGGUCUUUGAUUCUCAAGUUACUCCCACCUUUUCAGAAAUCCACAUCCUUAGACCUGACAUGCAGACUUCUGGACCCCAUGACCUAGUAAGGCUUUAAUAGAGGAGCUAAAAUUAGUUUUCAAUUAUUGGUAAAGUCUCUCUGCCUUCCUCUCCUUUAUUUCUCUUCCCCAAUCCCUCUUUUUGUAUGAACCAUAAGUUCCAAUGAUUUCUCACUAAACAUUUCAUAACUGGUCAAAUCCAAGAUGCCCCACACAGAGAGCAGUUUUCCAUCAUGGGAAGUUUUAUCAAACCUCACUUGGUAUUUUGAGACCUAAUCCAUAGCUCUUACACAGCAUGCAAAAAACUUUACUAUCAGUCACUCAUUAC